CUUGACCCUUCACAUCUACAAUUAAUAGAAGAUAUGAAUGACCAGAUCAGUUUCAUCACACUUCUCAACCCUUAACAUCCCAACUCCCAACACCCAUUAUCAUUAUCAUCAGCUUCAUCUUCAUCAUCUUCGUUCAUCAUCUUCAUCAGCUUCAUCUUCAUCAUCUUCAUCUUCAUCGAUAACAAUCCAAGGUAAAACAGAGAAUGGUUGCGGAUGUAAAGAUACGCAAAACACCAACUACGAAGGCAAGAACACUUGAUACCCUCCUAGAAGAUGGUGCGGUGCACAUAAGGAAGUGAUUGAUAUGAAUGAAUAUAACCCCAGUGUAGCUCUUCGAUUUUCCUUGAAAUUCCAGAGCUCGCUAAUUACAUAUCUACCACUUGGGUUAUAUUCAUUCAUAACCCUAGUGGCAGAUAUGUAAUUACCUACACUAGGGUUGUAUUCAUUCAUAUCUGCUACAUUCCGAAGUGCACCCGUCAGUAAAGAUCCACAAUUGCUUGUGGAUCUUUGACGUUUUGUCUCUAUAUUGUAUGUUACGGUCGUUUGUUAUCGAGUCUGUAAGUUCCGUCAAGUCUACGAAGUUGGUAUGACGUUUUGUCUCAGUAUUGUAUGUAUUAAAAGUUUACAUUUAAUAUACAGUUUAAGCUUUAAUGAUU